CCUACGGGUGGCAGCAGUGGGGAAUAUUGGACAAUGGGCGAAAGCCUGAUCCAGCCAUGCCGCGUGUGUGAAGAAGGCCUUCGGGUUGUAAAGCACUUUCAGUGGGGAAGAAAGCCUUGGGGCUAAUACCCUCGAGGAAGGACAUCACCCACAGAAGAAGCACCGGCUAACUCCGUGCCAGCAGCCGCGGUAAUACGGAGGGUGCGAGCGUUAAUCGGAAUUACUGGGCGUAAAGCGCGCGUAGGCGGUCUGAUAAGCCGGUUGUGAAAGCAACGGGCUCAACCUGGGAACGGCAUCCGGAACUGUCAGGCUAGAGUGCAGGAGAGGAAGGUAGAAUUCCCGGUGUAGCGGUGAAAUGCGUAGAGAUCGGGAGGAAUACCAGUGGCGAAGGCGGCCUUCUGGACUGACACUGACGCUGAGGUGCGAAAGCGUGGGUAGCAAACAGGAUUAGAUACCCCUGUAGUC
rnacentral:rRNA from 1 species